rnacentral:ncRNA from 1 species
CCGGCUCCGGUUCACGCCUGCACCCACCCGGGGUGAGGGCGACCCGGCGGCC